GAUGAACGCUAGCGGCAGGCCUAACACAUGCAAGUCGAGCGGAUGACGGGAGCAUGCUCCUUGAUUCAGCGGCGGACGGGUGAGUAAUGCCUAGGAAUCUGCCUGGUAGUGGGGGACAACGUUUCGAAAGGAACGCUAAUACCGCAUACGUCCUACGGGAGAAAGCAGGGGACCUUCGGGCCUUGCGCUAUCAGAUGAGCCUAGGUCGGAUUAGCUAGUUGGUGGGGUAAUGGCUCACCAAGGCGACGAUCCGUAACUGGUCUGAGAGGAUGAUCAGUCACACUGGAACUGAGACACGGUCCAGACUCCUACGGGAGGCAGCAGUGGGGAAUAUCGGACAAUGGGCGAAAGCCUGAUCCAGCCAUGCCGCGUGUGUGAAGAAGGUCUUCGGAUUGUAAAGCACUUUAAGUUGGGAGGAAGGGCAGUAAGCUAAUAUCUUGCUGUUUUGACGUUACCGACAGAAUAAGCACCGGCUAACUCUGUGCCAGCCGCCGCAGUAAAAC
rnacentral:rRNA from 1 species